AGUACAUGUUUCUACGGUCCAUUAGAAUAGGAGUACUUCUUACAUCAUAAUUCUCAUCUUAACUAGGAAAUAAUUUUCCCUCUUAAGAAAUCAUGGCAGAAUGUUAGCUCCAAGUUUGAGCAGCAACGUUUCAAUCAUUUUGAUAUAUAUAUAUAUAUAUAUAUAUAUAUAUAUAUUGCUUUCUCAAUGUGUGAAGAAAAGGCACAACAAGUAACGUGAGUUUCAGUCCCUUAAUAUCAACGUGAAGUUCCUAAGGAGCAAAGUGUAAUAUUUUUCUCAAGAACUACAUACGAGUUUCGUGCACCGUUUCGAUCUCGUUGUUCGUUUUGCCAUGUGGUUGGAUUCGGGCUUUCUUCGAAAUGAAGUAAGGUGAAAAAGUAAGGUGGAAGAAGAAGAUUUCUUGACAAAUAAGCCCCAGAUUAUUUUGCAGGAAAGAUUAUACAGGAGACUGACUAUAGGGUAUUCCCAGGCUAUCAGCUAGAUUGGUAAACUCUAUUUCAUUCGGAGUAUGGCCGAGUCAGAGUAUUUCUUUAUGAUUUGAGUCAGAUGCAUUAUAGGUAUGUUGGGGUCCUGUCCUAACUUAUGUUUUGAUAUCAUGUUCUACGUUAGAGACUUUUGCAGACAGAGUCAUGUACAUAGUAUGUCAUUCUUGUAAGAGGCUAUGUAAGCCGAUAUAUCAUUUUGCAUUA